rnacentral:tRNA from 1 species
GGGCGAUUAGCUCAGCGGUAGAGCGUCCGCUUUACACGCGGAGGGUCGGGGGUUCGAACCCCUCAUCGCCCACCA